rnacentral:rRNA from 1 species
GGCCAGAGUGGGUGAUAGCCCCGUAUGCGAAAGCCUGGUGGUGGAACUGAGUGUGCGAGAAGUAGGGCGGGACACGUGAAAUCCUGUCUGAAGAUGGGGGACCAUCCUCCAAGGCUAAAUACUCGUGAUCGACCGAUAGUGAACCAGUACCGUGAGGAAAGGCGAAAAGAACCCCGGGAGGGGAGUGAAAUAGAUCCUGAAACCGCAUGCAUACAAACAGUGGGAGCCUGCCCGCCAGGAGGUGUUAAGGGGUACCUUUUGUAUAAUGGGUCAGCGACUUACAUUCAGUGGCGAGCUUAACCGAAUAGGGGAGGCGUAGCGAAAGCGAGUCCGAACAGGGCGAUUCAGUCGCUGGGUGUAGACCCGAAACCAGAUGAUCUACCCAUGGCCAGGAUGAAGCGGAUGUCAAAGUCCGUGGAGGUCCGAACCGGUUAACGUUGAAAAGUCAUCGGAUGAGCCGUGGGUAGGGGUGAAAGGCCAAUCAAACCACGUGAUAGCUGGUUCUCUCCCGAAAGCUAUUUAGGUAGCGCCUCGUGUAUCACUUCCGGGGGUAGAGCACUGUAAUGGUUGUGGGGUCAUUGCGACUUACCGCGCCAUAGCAAACUCGAAUACUGGAAAGUGUGAGCACGGGAGACAGACUUGGGGUGCUAACGUCCUGAGUCGAGAGGGAAACAACCCAGACCGCCGAUUAAGGUCCUGAAGACACAGUUAAGUGGUAAACGAUGUGGGAAGGCUUAGACAGCCAGGAGGUUGGCUUAGAAGCAGCCAUCCUUUAAAGAAAGCGUAAUAGCUCACUGGUCGAGUCGUCCUGCGCGGAAAAUGUAACGGGGCUCAAACUGUGCACCGAAAUCGCGGAUAUGUGCGUUCCACUUUAGUUCAUUCGAAGCGAGAAGCUGUUGGCGGUACGCGGUAAGGCGGUGAGGCGAGACCGUCCUCCCUGAAAGUCGAGUCGGGUGGUGGAGGAGUGGAUGAAAAGGGAAGCAAAGGAGUGUGCUGAUGGUAGGAGAGCGUUCCGUAGGCCGUUGAAGGUGGGGUGUGAACCCUGCUGGAGGUAUCGGAAGUGCGAAUGCUGACAUGAGUAGCGAUAAAGCGGGUGAAAGGCCCGCUCGCCAAAGCCAAGGUUUCCUGCGCAACGUUCAUCGGCGCAGGGUGAGUCGGCCCAGGCGAGGCCGAAAGGCGUAGUCGAUGGGAAACAGGUUAAUAGUCCUGUACCUUUAUGCAAUGCGAUGGGGGACGGAGAAGGUUAGGUGGGCCGGGUGUUGGAUGUCCUGGUUCAAGCGUGUAGGCGUGCCCGGUAGGCAAAUCCGCUGGGCUUAGCCGAGGCGUGAUGACGCAAGGUUCUUCGGGACCCCAAGCCACUGAGACCCCGCUUCCAGGAAAAGCCUCUAAGCUUCAGUUGCAUGAAGACCGUACCGCAAACCGACACAGGUGGGCAGGAUGAAGAUUCUAAGGCGCUUGAGAGAACUCAGGAGAAGGAACUCGGCAAAUUAGCACCGUAACUUCGGGAGAAGGUGCGCCCUUGUAGCGUGAAGGCCCUCGCGUCUGGAGCUCGACGGGGUUGCAGUGAAAUGGUGGCUGCGACUGUUUAAUAAAAACACAGCACUCUGCAAAGGCGAAAGCCGACGUAUAGGGUGUGACGCCUGCCCGGUGCCGGAAGGUUAAGUGAUGGGGUGCAAGCUCUUGAUCGAAGCCCCGGUAAACGGCGGCCGUAACUAUAACGGUCCUAAGGUAGCGAAAUUCCUUGUCGGGUAAGUUCCGACCUGCACGAAUGGCGUAACGAUGGCCACACUGUCUCCUCCUGAGACUCAGCGAAGUUGAAGUGUUUGUGAAGAUGCAAUCUCCCCGCUGCUAGACGGAAAGACCCCAUGCACCUUUACUGUAGCUUUGCAUUGGACUUUGAUGAGACUUGUGUAGGAUAGGUGGGAGGCUUUGAAACCGGGAUGCUGGUUCCAGUGGAGCCGUCCUUGAAAUACCACCCUGGUGUCAUUGAGGUUCUAACCUGGGUCCCUUAACGGGGUCGGGGACCGUGCAUGGCAGGCAGUUUGGCUGGGGCGGUCUCCUCCCAAAGGGUAACGGAGGAGUUCGAAGGUUCGCUAGGUACGGUCGGACAUCGUACUGAUAGUGCAUUGGCAAAAGCGAGCUUGACUGCGAGACGGACAUGUCGAGCAGGUGCGAAAAGCAGGACAAAGUGAUCCGGUGGUUCUGUAUGGAAGGGCCAUCGCUCAACGGAUAAAAGGUACGCUGGGGAUAACAGGCUGAUGAUCCCAAGAGUUCAUAUCGACGGAGUCGUUUGGCACCUCGAUGUCGGCUCAUCAUCCUGGGGCUGUAGCCGGUCCCAGGGUAUGGCUGUUCGCCAUUUAAAGAGGUACGUGAGCUUGGUUCAAAACGUCGUGAGACAGUUUGGUCCCUAUCUGCAGUGGGCGCUGGAGAUUUGACGGGGCUGCUCCUAGUACGAGAGGACCGGAGUGGACGCACCUCUGGUGUACCGGUUGUGACGCCAGUCGCAUCGCCGGGUAGCUAUGUGCGGAAGAGAUAACCGCUGAAAGCAUCUAAGCGGGAAACUUGCCUGAAGAUGAGAUCUCCCGGAGGCUUGACCUCCCUGAAGGGUCGUGGAAGACCACCACGUUGAUAGGCCGGGUGUGGAAGCGCAGUAAUGCGUUAAGCUAACCGGUACUAAUUGCCCGUGCGGCUUGAUCCU